rnacentral:rRNA from 1 species
GCACAAGCGGUGGAGCAUGUGGUUUAAUUCGAUGAUACGCGAGGAACCUUACCUGGGCUCAAAUGUAUGUUGACGUAUUCUGAAAGGGAUACUUCUUCGGACAAUAUACAAGGUGCUGCAUGGUUGUCGUCAGCUCGUGCCGUGAGGUGUCGGGUUAAGUCCCAUAACGAGCGCAACCCCUAUCAUUAGUUGCCAUCAGGUCAAGCUGGGGACUCUAAUGAAACUGCCUACGCAAGUAGUGAGGAAGGUGGGGAUGACGUCAAAUCAGCACGGCCCUUACGUCCAGGGCUACACACGUGCUACAAUGGCCGGUACAAAGGGUUGCCAAGCCGCGAGGUGGAGCUAAUCCCAUAAAACCGAUCGUAGUCCGGAUCGCAGUCUGCAACUCGACUGCGUGAAGUCGGAAUCGCUAGUAAUCGCGAAUCAGAAUGUCACGGUGAAUACGUUCCCGGGCCUU